rnacentral:rRNA from 1 species
CAGCCGCCGCGGGAAUACGUAGGUGGCAAGCGUUGUCCGGAAUUAUUGGGCGUAAAGGGCUCGCAGGCGGUUUCUUAAGUCUGAUGUGAAAGCCCCCGGCUCAACCGGGGAGGGUCAUUGGAAACUGGGAAACUUGGGUGCAGAAGAGGAGAGUGGAAUUCCACGUGUAGCGGUGAAAUGCGUAGAGAUGUGGAGGAACACCAGUGGCAAAGGCGACUCUCUGGUCUGUAACUGACGCUGAGGAGCGAAAGCGUGGGGAGCGAACAGGAUUAGAUACCCGUGUAGUCCCUGUCUCUUAUAC